rnacentral:hammerhead_ribozyme from 1 species
CGUCGAAACCUCCUAGACUCUUUCCGUGGGUCUGGAGGUCUACCGAGGGAUGGCCUCCCGGUACUGAGGAGACAGGCCGAA